GUGGCCUGAAACAGGGACACCAGGUGGGAGCCAGCACAACCUGCAUGUGGCUGUGCUGGCUCCUGCCUCGGACCAGGGGUGUGUGUGGGCACGGGAGGAGCGAGGUGUGCUAGGCGGUGAUACAGGGCAGAUGCCAUAGCGAUGACAGCUGGCGAGGCAAAUGGUCCAGAGUGUAAACAUUGGAGAUAAGAAGAGCAUCUUAGUUCAGCUGAGUGAAGAUUACCUCCAGGGAUCACCUCCAGGGAUCACCUCCAGGGAUCCCCUCCAGGGAUCCCCUCCAGGGAUCACCUCCAGGGAUCCCCUCCAGGGAUCCCCUCCAGGAAUCACCUGCAGAGACCCUGCUGCUGCUGUUGCAUGUUCAUGCUUUCAGCAGAAACAUGGAGAUAGAGAGUCUUCCAUGAAGAUCUACUACCAGAGCCCCUGGCAAGCCAUCCAUCAGGGCUCCAGCGAAGGCCACUAUCUUCUGACUGACAAGAAAAUGGACCAGGACACCAUGAUGAGUGACUCCAGAGGGCUGGAGAUGGAUGCCUAUUGAUGUGCCACAAUAAACCAGCAAGAGACUGUUUACUGCGGUUAAGAGCCUCUCUCUCUGCAGUCGAUGAGCUGAGAUCUGCCGGCGUGUCAGUGCUCCCCUUUCCUCACAGAAGAGCUCCUUUCAGGAUAAGAAAGCUCUCUCAGUGUGUUGUGACAAGUCGUUGAGGCAGAAGAUCUCCCUGCUUGUUCACAUCGACACAGCAGCACCAGCGACCUUGAAGGUGACCCGCUGUGAACGUGUCUCUCAGAUGCAACCCUUGAAGAGGACAGCAAUCUUGGCCUGCUAUCAAACUGCACCGCACACGGGUGACCCUGUGGGGUUUCUGAAACAGCCUGGGAGAUGAGAUCAUCCUCACGGAUCCAAGGUUGACUGACAGGCAGGAGUGAGAGCGCUGAAGGUCACCAAGCGCGGUGAUAAGGAAGCUGUAGAGACCGCAGUUCUUACAGGCUACAAUCAGCUGAUUAUUCUUUCAAAUGCCAAAGAUGAAAAUAUGGCGGCACAAGUUGGUUGUGAUGCGAGUCGGAGGAUGUGGUUAUGUGAGUCCUGUGUCCUGGGCAGAGCCACGCUCAGCUGAGGAAGACAGAAACACGCUGUUCAACAUGCUGUAAAUCAUAAAUUCAAAUUGCAAUCAGGAUGUUAGCACUAGACAGCCCAAUGAAACAAGAACGUAAAUGUCAAACACAUCUGCAGCCAAUCUGAACACGACCGUUUUGCUCAAAUGCCAUAAAAACUAAAUAUACAAUU